UCCUCUGUGGCUCAGUCAGUAGAGCAUGGCACUUGCAAUGCCAGUAUUGGGGGUUUGAUUCCUGCUGGGGCAA
rnacentral:tRNA from 1 species